ensembl:lncRNA
CCGUGAUUAAGUACCUGAUAGGCCAACCCAGAGGAGCUCAGGUGCAUGCAGUGUACCUGAGUAGCCAGAAGGGGUGGAGCCAGGAUCCACUCCUUCCCAGACCUCAUUUAAGGGCUGGCAAUGGGGAUAAAUACAGUAACUUCCACUUCAUUUGGCAGGAGCCAGUAUCUGUCAACAACAACAACAAAAGUCCUGCUGGCAACAAACAGUGUCUUGAGAUGCAGUAGUUAUGAGUACCGUUCUUAUGCUGCUGAGUAGGUUUCUGUAUGUAUUCCAAGAAUAUCCAGCUUCAAUGUGAUCUACUGUUCAUAUCCUAAGGCAGUUCUACGUUGCUGUCAAACUUCUUCAAACGUUUCUCCAAAUGAAGUUAAACUACGACAAUAAAUCAGAUUAUGCUAUUCUGAAUGGGCAGAGGUACCUAUGCUGAUAGACCUGACUACCUGAAAGAAACCAGAGGAUUUAACUGGGGAUGGAACGAUAGCCUUGGAGGAAUUUAUAAUUUUCAAAACAAACUUAGAAAAUUUUCUGCCUUCUUAAAUGAAAUUUCUUAACAUUUUAUUUCUGGAUUUAGGCAGGGUCUUGGUCCAUUCUUCUCCAAUAUUUCUCUGUUGUUCAUGAACUGUAAAAUAUGUUUUGCUCCAUUGGGUGAAAUAUUUUGGAAAGAAACAUUCAGGAAAGAGACUGGGUACUGUUUUGUAUGGUUACAGAGCUCUGAAAUGCUAGAACUCAUAUAUGACACUGAACAUUUCUGAAGGAAUCCGUAUAUUUUCAGAUCGACCUUUUUCUUGAGAUCUAUUCUCUAACACCACAGAAAGAUAAUACAUAGUCUGCUGUAGUACGGUCUGAUGCAUAGGCACAACUGAUCCAGAAAAAGGGCUUCCCACAUUCAACUUUGAUGGAACCUAGGUCUGAGGAUACCUGUGUUCCCAGGAAGCAAGUUUCUGCGGUGGCCAAUUUUUUUUCCUCUAGGACAUACACAAGCAUCAAGACUUGAAAAUAAAAGUUUCUUUUUACCAGUUCAUCUCUACGUGUCUUGCCUUUGGAGUUGCUCCAAUAAUGAAGUUUCUUAAACCAUUUGCCAGGUAAACUCUCCAACAGAAAUACAGUGAAGAGAAUAUUACAGCAGCCUCUGCAACUCUUUUUAUGGCUUAAAAACUGAUACGAGGAACAACAUAUGCAAGUUCAAAGCUCUCAGUCUUUUUUGGAACAGCGUAUGGACAGUUGGUCUCCUGCCACCAAAGGAACUGCCAUUAUCACUGGGUUAUUAGGUUAUUUGGUAGACAGAGGAAGAGAGAUCUCUUAAGCAGUAAAACAUUUCUCUUCAACACAAAAAAGAAUAUAUGGAUAUAGAUGAAUACUGCAUGCUUAAUAACAUAAUAACUGCAUAAUUAAAACUCAGAUUUACUCCCAGUGUGCUAAAAUUAAAUUCAGACUCUCAAAAGCUCUCUUGCAGUUAACAGCAAGAUCACAGAGUAAAAAAAGAAUAUCCUUCCAGAGUUAGUUAUAUUGUAAAAGAUGAAGUUGGAGGUGGCUAUGUAUAGCAAUCAGAUGCCAAAAAUUAGAUUUGAUAAUUUACAUAAUUUACAUAAUAAUCUAAAUGGCCUUGGAUCCUAUCAUUGCUCUAGUUAAAAACUAAGUAUGCUACACAAAACAAAAGCACUUUGACAAGGCAGACUAAGUUAGCCUCAGUUUAGAAUGCUAUACAUUCUGUUUCCUGCAUGUUUUCUCAGAAGUUUGAAAUGCUAGGGUUAACUUCUCCCAGGUUCCCAGGGAAGGAUGCUCCACUAGUUUAUCUAGGUAUCAAGAGAUUGCUGUAAUAGCUUGCAUGAAGAGAGAAGCUGGCACAUUAUCUUUUUUAGGAAUUUUGCUUUGUUUGGAUGUCUACACAUAUGAAUGUUUUAGUACUGUGAAUGCAGAG